GCGUUUUUUUUUUUUUUUUGAUUUUGCCAAAUUUGGACAAAAUGGGAGUGUAAAAAUUUGGUCUCUCUUGCUUCUCUCUCACUCGUUCUCGCACAUCUCGUGUAGCAGCCUGAGCCCUAAGCCUUGAGCCUCCUCUCUCUCUCAGUCUUCAAUCACUAUCUUAAACUCUUUGUCUCUCAUUCCCAACACCAUCUCUCGAUUUCUCUCUAUUUCUGCCUUCAUCCAAAAAAAUUUCACAUGCCUCCACCUCAGGUUCACACAUUCAAUCUCAUUAUUUGCAUAUUUAAUUUAAUGUUUGUGCAAUUAAUUGUGCUGUAAAGGGAAGAAAUUAGAUCCAUGGUUGAAAAGGAUGGGUCUGCAAAGGGAAUUGUUUUCAGCCAGUUCACAUCGUUCUUGGAUAUUUCAAGUUGAGUUGUUGCUUGAGUAUCAUUAAAGUAGGAAAAUAGUGGUGCUAUAGCGGAAGAAGAUGGAAGAGAAACAGUUGAGUCAUCCUCUUUCUAUUUUAGGACUUUGAUGAGUGCAUCGAUUAUAUUGACGAAGCUACAAGAUCUGGUGGUGGUGUGUUGGUUCAUUGCUUUGUGGGAAGAUCCAGAAGGUGAUUUUAUCUUCCAGUAUAGGUUGUUGCUUUCAGUUCAAUACUUGAAUAAGAUAUGUGGAUUAAACUUUGAAGGUUGACAUUUCCAGAGGGACUCCAUCCUUGAUCCUUAUUAACUGAGAAAAGAUAAGGUGAAGGGUGCUAACCUUAAGUGGCUUUACCCACAUUUGUCCGUCAUACUAGCCACUCUCUUUGUAAGUCUAUACAUACCGGGGAACCUGUAGUAAUAUAUUUUCUCUGGUAUUCGGGGCUGGUAGAAUUAAAUCCAUGGCUGUUUAGCAGAUAGAGAGAGGCAACAAUUGCUGAGGCUCAAGCAUUAGGGGCAAUAGUUCGCUCUCAAGGUCCUUGGUUUGGAGAUGUUCAAAAAAUGUGAAGUCUUCAAGUGACAAUUUCCUUGUUCGUUGGAGGUCUCAUGGAUAGUUUGAUAUUUCUUUGUAUAUCUCAUCGUUUUGUUGUUUACUUUAGAAGAUAACUUCUUGUUGUUUUUUCUUUUUUGUUCGAACAUCUUAUAUGUACAUUUUGAUAUAUUUUAUAAUUAAAUACUUUUUCUUGGUUUA